CAUGCCGCGUGCAGGAAGACAGCCCUCUGGGUCGUAAACUGCUUUUAUUCGGGAAUAAACCACAUUACGUGUAGUGUGCUGAAUGUACCGAAGGAAUAAGGAUCGGCUAACUCCGUGCCAGCAGCCGCGGUAAUACGGAGGAUCAAGCGUUAUCCGGAUUUAUUGGGUUUAAAGGGUGCGUAGGCGGCUUAUUAAGUCAGGGGUGAAAGACGGUGGCUCAACCAUCGCAGUGCCUUUGAUACUGAUGAGCUUGAAUACACUAGAGGUAGGCGGAAUGUGACAAGUAGCGGUGAAAUGCAUAGAUAUGUCACAGAACACCGAUUGCGAAGGCAGCUUACUAUGGUGUGAUUGACGCUGAGGCACGAAAGCGUGGGGAUCAAACAGGAUUAGAUACCCUGGUAGUCCACGCCCUAAACGAUGAAUACUCGCUGUUAGCGAUAUACAGUUAGCGGCUAAGCGAAAGCGUUAAGUAUUCCACCUGGGGAGUACGCCCGCAAGGGUGAAACUCAAAGGAAUUGACGGGGGCCCGCACAAGCGGAGGAGCAUGUGGUUUAAUUCGAUGAUACGCGAGGAACCUUACCCGGGCUUGAAAGUUAGUGAAUGAUUUAGAGAUAGAUCAGUGAGCAAUCACACGAAACUAGGUGCUGCAUGGCUGUCGUCAGCUCGUGCCGUGAGGUGUUGGGUUAAGUCCCGCAACGAGCGCAACCCCUAUGUUUAGUUGCCAGCACGUUAUGGUGGGGACUCUAAACAGACUGCCUGUGCAAACAGAGAGGAAGGAGGGGACGACGUCAAGUCAUCAUGGCCCUUACGUCCGGGGCUACACACGUGCUACAAUGGAUGGUACAGAGGGCAGCAAGCUGGCAACAGCAAGCGAAUCUCAAAAAGCCAUUCACAGUUCGGAUAGAGGUCUGCAACUCGACCUCUUGAAGUUGGAUUCGCUAGUAAUCGCGUAUCAGCAAUGACGCGGUGAAUACGUUCCCGGGCCUUGUACACACCGCCCGUCAAGCCAUGGAAGUUGGGGGUACCUAAAGUAUGUAACCGCAAGGAGCGUCCUAGGUAGUCCCAGG
rnacentral:rRNA from 1 species